rnacentral:rRNA from 1 species
UACGUAGGGACCAAGCGUUGUCCGGAUUUAUUGGGCGUAAAGAGCUCGUAGGCGGCCCUCCACGUCGGAUGUGAAAGCUCAGGGCUCAACCCUGGGAUGCCAUUCGAUACGGGAAGGCUAGAGGUAGGUAGGGGAAAGUGGAAUUCCUGGUGUAGCGGUGAAAUGCGCAGAUAUCAGGAGGAACACCGGUGGCGAAGGCGGCUUUCUGGGCCUUACCUGACGCUGAGGAGCGAAAGCUGGGGGAGCGAACAGG